GAUGAAGAACGCAGCGAAAUGCGAUAAGUAAUGUGAAUUGCAGAAUUCAGUGAAUCAUCGAAUCUUUGAACGCACAUUGCGCCCCCUGGUAUUCCGGGGGGCAUGCCUGUCCGAGCGUCAUUACAACCCUCAAGCUCAGCUUGGUGUUGGGCCCCGCCGCCCCGGCGGGUCCUAAAGUCAGUGGCGGUGCCGUCCGGCUCCGAGCGUAGUAAUUCUUCUCGCUCUGGAGGUCCGGUCGUGUGCUCGCCAGCAACCCCCAAUUUUUUUCAGGUUGACCUCGGAUCAGGUAGGGAUACCCGCUGAACUUAAGCAUAUCAAUAAGCGGAGGA
rnacentral:misc_RNA from 1 species